rnacentral:rRNA from 1 species
CACGUAGGGUGCGAGCGUUGUCCGGAAUUAUUGGGCGUAAAGAGCUCGUAGGCGGUGUGUCGCGUCGGCCGUGAAAACCUGCAGCUUAACUGUGGGCUUGCGGUCGAUACGGGCAUCACUGGAGUUCGGCAGGGGAGACUGGAAUUCCUGUGUAGCGGUGAAAUGCGCAGAUAUCAGGAGGAACACCGGUGGCGAAGGCGGGUCUCUGGACGUACUGACGCUGAGACGCGAAAGCGUGGGGAGCGAACAGG